rnacentral:rRNA from 1 species
GACGAACGCUGGCGGCGUGCUUAACACAUGCAAGUCGAACGGAAAGGCACUGCUUUUGUGGGGUGCUCGAGUGGCGAACGGGUGAGUAACACGUGAGUAACCUGACCUUGACUUUGGGAUAACUUCAGGAAACUGGGGCUAAUACAGGAUAGGAGCUCCUGCUGCAUGGUGGGGGUUGGAUAGUUUCGGCGGUUGGGGAUGGACUGGCGGCUUAUCAGCUUGCUGGUUGGGUAGUGGCUUACCCAGGCAUUGGCCGGUACGCGGCCUGUGAGGGUGACCGGCGACAUUGGGACUAAGGUAGGGCCCAGACGCCUACGGGAGGCAACAGUGGGGAGUAUUGCACAAUGGGCGGGAGCCUGAUACAGCGACGCCGCGGUCGGGAUGACGGCCUUCGGGGUGUAAACCGCAUUCGCCUGUGACGAAGCGGUAGUGACGGUAAUGAGUAAAGAAGCACCGGCUAACUACGUG